AUUGAACGCUGGCGGCAUGCCUUACACAUGCAAGUCGAACGGUAACGGGCCUUCGGGUGCCGACGAGUGGCGAACGGGUGAGUAAUACAUCGGAACGUGCCCGAUCGUGGGGGAUAACGAGGCGAAAGCUUUGCUAAUACCGCAUACGAUCUACGGAUGAAAGCAGGGGACCGCAAGGCCUUGCGCGGACGGAGCGGCCGAUGGCAGAUUAGGUAGUUGGUGGGAUAAAAGCUUACCAAGCCGACGAUCUGUAGCUGGUCUGAGAGGAUGAUCAGCCACACUGGGACUGAGACACGGCCCAGACUCCUACGGGAGGCAGCAGUGAGGAAUUUUGGACAAUGGGCGCAAGCCUCAUCCAGCCAUGCCGCGUGCAGGAUGAAGGCCUUCGGGUUGUAAACUGCUUUUGUACGGAACGAAAAGCCUUCUUUUAAUACAGGAGGGUCAUGACGGUACCGUAAGAAUAAGCACCGGCUAACUACGUG
rnacentral:rRNA from 1 species